rnacentral:rRNA from 1 species
ACGGGUAGCCGGCCUGAGAGGGCGACCGGCCACACUGGGACUGAGACACGGCCCAGACUCCUACGGGAGGCAGCAGUGGGGAAUAUUGCACAAUGGGCGGAAGCCUGAUGCAGCGACGCCGCGUGAGGGAUGACGGCCUUCGGGUUGUAAACCUCUUUCAGCAGGGACGAAGCGUAAGUGACGGUACCUGCAGAAGAAGCGCCGGCCAACUACGUGCCAGCAGCCGCGGUAAGACGUAGGGCGCGAGCGUUGUCCGGAUUUAUUGGGCGUAAAGAGCUCGUAGGCGGCUUGUCGCGUCGACCGUGAAAACCUGGGGCUCAACCCCAGGCCUGCGGUCGAUACGGGCAGGCUAGAGUUCGGUAGGGGAGACUGGAAUUCCUGGUGUAGCGGUGAAAUGCGCAGAUAUCAGGAGGAACACCGGUGGCGAAGGCGGGUCUCUGGGCCGAUACUGACGCUGAGGAGCGAAAGCGUGGGGAGCGAACAGGAUUAGAUACCCUGGUAGUCCACGCUGUAAACGUUGGGCGCUAGGUGUGGGGGGCCUCUCCGGUUUCCUGUGCCGCAGCUAACGCAUUAAGCGCCCCGCCUGGGGAGUACGG